rnacentral:lncRNA from 1 species
GGUCCUAGUGUUGUGUGUCAUCUCGUCAAGCCCAGAAGAUAGCUUAUCUUUUAAUCUUUUUAUCUUCAGGGCCAAGUUCAAUGCCUGGCACAUACUUGGUGCUCAAUAAUGUUAGAAAAAAAAUGAGCUUGUAAUUACCAGCUCUUUAAAAGCUUCUUUACUGUAGCUGAGUACUGUUUCCACAUCCUGCCCAUGGCUUCUGCUUCCCGUAUUCAUUCACUCUAACGUAGAUUCCUGAAUGUCUACUGCCCUGAAUGAGGUGCUUCGUGCACACAGGGACAUGGCCUUCAUUUGGUCUGAUUUUCUGAGUCUCUCAAACUGCUGCUGCAGGGUCCCUGGAGACAGCUCGUUUCUCCUGGAAGAAUCGCCAAAGUCAGCUUCAGCAGCUCACAAACGUCUUCAUUGCUCUGAGCACAGCGCUAGGCAUAGAAUUGGAUUCAGCUGAUACUUGCCACCUGGCUUAGAGAACAAGGACUCCAGCUCCAGCCCCAGCUGCGGCACCUGCUAGUUCUGUGACCUAGGUUUCUUUGCUGGGAAGGCAGAGGAAGCCAGGAGAGGCCCAUCAGAAUGGACUUCACCACUUCAUCGGCCCAGGUCGCGAUGCGGAAGCACCGAGAAUCAUCGGAGCUGGAAAGUAUAGUCCAGUGGUGUGCUAGGAAAGAAGGGGAGAAGGCCUUUUGGCCUCUGCCACGUCUCUUGACUUGGACACCUUCCCACUGCUGCUGACAGCAAUCAGACACCUGCUCCCUGAGCCCAUGGCAGCCAGCAUGCCUCUUCUACAGCACUCGCCACCCUCUCUCAGCGAGCGUGGAACGUCACCUCACCUCUGAGUGAGCCCAGGAAGCGACAACUCUCCGUGGCCAGGAAUCUCAGCUCCUCAGAUUCCGUGGAAAGGAGUAGCGAGCUGGUCCUAAAGGAGGAAGAGGAAAUGGAAACGAGCUAAACUGUCAGCUGCCUAGUGAGUGUCUGGCUCAAGACUCCUCACGUUUGCUUGAUCUCCUGUUUUUAACGCAGUACCUUUCUCUGCAGCCUCUCUGCUCACCCUGGUCACCAUUUGACUCCUCCGCCCCCUGGCGUUGGGUUGUUAUCAUAAUCCUUCACAUCCAUCUGGCUUCCCUCAACGGUUAUCUUAUUCACUCUCCUAAAAAAAAAAAAAUCCUGUGAGGAAAGAAGAAAACUGCACAACUCACUUUUGUGUGGAGUCUAAAAAAGUCGAAUACAGAGAAGCAGAGAGCAGGCUGGUGGUUGCCAGGGCAGGGAGGUGGGGGAGUGGAGAGAUGAGGUCAAAGGGGGCGGAAGUGUGGUUAUGUAGGGUGACUUAAGUCUAGAGAGCUAGUGUCCAGCCCGAUGGCUGUGGUUAAUAAUACUGUAUAGUUACUGGAAAUAUGCGAAGAGUAGAAUUCAAGAGCUUUCAUCACAAAAAAUGACUAUAUGAGGAGAUAGCAUGUUAGCUCAAAUAAUAAUCAUUUCACUAUGUUUAUGUGUAUCAAAUCAUCAUUUUUAUCAAAAGCGAGAGAAGAGAAAACAAAAAAAAUGCAAAAAAAGCCUGUGAGAUGGGAAGGGCAGAGAUUAUUCUCUCAUUUCACAAUGACGCACAAGACUGCCCUUCCGUCCUUUUGUCCAUCCAUCCGUCCAUCAUCCAUCAUCCAUCCAUCUAUCCAUCCUUUCAUUCAUUCAUUCAUUCAAAAAAUAUUUAUUAAACUACUCCUGUGUGCUAGCAACUUUGUAAUGCUCUAGGGGAGCAAAGAUGUCUGGGAAGCUCUUGAGAGAGAUAUCAACGCAUGGAAGAAAAAGAGGGAGCCUAUUUUGGGUUUACAAGCGGGAAGUCCAUGCUGUCAGAGGAAGGGGUGGUGGAUGUCAUUGCAGACCACGGCCAGCAGGUGGCACUCCGGGUCCCACGAAGCCCAAGAGCCCUUCCAGCCUUCCAGGCCCAGCUUUCAUUUCGUAUUCAUUACGGUACUUAAAAUCAAAUUCUAAGUCAUAUCAUUGAAAGGCUGCAUUCAAUUUGAUUUUAAUUCAAUUUAUUUGCCGUUAAUUGUUCCGUGCACUUCUAAAAAUGGUCAAAUUAAAUCUGGUCGUAUCAGGGCUUUCUGGGUAAGAGAAAGACGUCCAGGGAACUCAGACUCCUGCAUAAACUAGCACCUCCAGUGAGUGGUUCUAGGUCCCGGUUCCGUUCUUAGGAAAUGCUCGUGAAAAGGUAAUGCUAUUGGGAAAAGAUCCGGAAGGACAUCCUCUAAGAUGUUAAUUGUGGUAUCUCCCAGUGGUGGGACUACCAAUUUUUUUUUCUUUUAAAUACUGUGUGUACUUUAUUUAUUUUUUAGAAUGAACAGGUAUUAAUUUUCAUGCUUGUCUUCCGUUUUUCAUUGAAUAAAACCUACAAAUGGAAAAAUACAAAUCUUAAAUGAACAGCUUGGAUUCAUAUAUUUAUACACAUGCAGAAUCUUCACUCAGAUCAAGAUCCACAUUACCAAGACCCCAAAAUCUCCCUCGAGUCCCUUCCCAGGAUCCUCCACCCCCCCGCAGGAGCCACUCCAUCACCAUGGCUUAGUUUUGCCUGCUUUUGAACUUCAUAUAAAUGGA